rnacentral:lncRNA from 1 species
AGAUUUCGGCCCCUCGUCUUGUUACUCGACUGUGCUUCCAGAGCCAGAAGCCGGGAAUCCCUUCCGGACCUCUCACCGAGAAAGCGUCUCGCGCGUCCCUUGAGCAGUUUGGACUCCGUCGUGAUCUUCCUCGAUUCCUCCCCUUCAUUUCAGGAGAUCCCGAUGGCUUAUGCUGCUGCUGCUAUACACAACUCUCACCCGCGUCCCUUCCCCCCCAUGUGCCGGGCGGCUUCUUUAAUCGAAUCAAAUUCGGCGUUGUCUUCCGGGGUGAUCGGGCUCUCCAGUUCCUCCCUACCCCUCUCUGCCCUGUUUUCACACUCAGCCCCACUCUUCGGCUUCUGCCCCACUAAGUGAAAUAUUCUUCCACCCCCCUCCUUUCCCUCUUCCUCUCUCUUCUCGCCCUCCCCCCGCCCCGAACAAAGACCAUCCACUUCUUCCGUUUCCAAGUUUCCUGGAUCAGGGUUCUCCCGCCCGGCCCUCCUCUCCCAGCUUCCUGUGCGGUCCCGCUCUCAUCGGGCCCCUCGACCCCCCUCUGCUUCUGUCAGUUCUCCAGAAGGAGGAAAACGAGGGCCGGAGGUUCACGGCGGGUGGGGGCGAAGAGGAACGGCGCUAGUCUGUUGGGUUGCUCUUGAUGAAGGUCAUGAAAACCAUCCAUUUGAACAGCUCCCCCCCCCCCCCAGCAGUCAAAAGCGUCCAUAUGCAGUUGUAAAACUCUCCGCGCCCCCUCGGGCUUGGUGGGAAGGCUCGGGAUGGCCGAAGUGCGGACCGUCUCGUUUGGAACCGGGACGCCGGCUCGCAGGGCGGAAGAGCGGGGAUCCGGUAGGCGAGCGGGGAAGGGGAGGACUCGAUUCCGGCUCUGCUGGGUGGCUUUGGACGAGUGGCUCAGCCAACUGUACGCUCCGAGCGCUCAGUACAGUGCUCUGCACCUAGUAAGCACUCAAUAAAUGCUAUUGAACGAAUGAAUGAAUGGAAGAGUAGGGAUCCGGUAGGCGAGCGGGGAAGGGGAGGACUCGAUAAACAGCGUGGCUCAGUGGAAAGAGCACGGGGUUGGGAGCCAGAGGUCAUGGGUUCAAAUCCCGCCUCUGCCGCUUGUCAGCUGUGUGACUUUGGGCAAGUCACUUAACUUCUCUGGGCCUCAGUUACCUCAUCUGUAAAAUGGGGAUGAAGACUGUGAGCCCCAGGUGGGAUAACCUGAUCACCUUGUAGCCUCCCCAGUGCUUAGAACAGUGCUUUGCACAUAGUAAGAGCUUAACAAAUGCCAUCAUCAUCAUCAAGUCGCUCAGCCAAUUGUACGCUCCGAGCGCUUAGUACAGUGCCCUGCGCCUAGUAAGCACUCAAUAAAUACUAUUGAAUGAAUGAAUGAAUGGAAGAGUGGGGAUCCGGUAGGCGAGCGGGGAAGGGGAGGACUCGAUUCCGGCUCUGCUGGGUGGCUUUGGACAAGUGGCUCAGCCAAUUGUACGCUCCGAGCGCUUAGUACAGUGCCCUGCACCUAAAAUAAAUACUAUCGAAUGAAUGAAUGGAAGAGUGGGGAGCCGGUAGGCGAGCGGGGAAGGGGAGGACGGUUGUAACCGGGGAGGCCCGAGGGACCCAGGAAUGUUCCCGGUCUGUGCGGAACGUGCUCAGAGACAAAGGGGCUUUUGGACUGUCUGCACGAUCCUCGA